GUGGACUGAAAUGGCCACAAACACAGAACUCAUCUUAUCAUUUGCAUGCAGUGAUUUGGGAUAGCUUUGUCAGUGUCAUUUGGCAGCAUAGGGAAGUCUUCUUCCCUUUUCUUUUAUCUUUUAAAGGCUGCUGGCUCUGGGAAAGAUGGAAGGUAGCAGCUUUUAAAAGUUAAAGUGAGGCGUGGAAAAAUAAGAACCUCCAUAGCCUUCAUAUUAAGUCAGCUCUCCCACUAGAAUAGCCUGGAUUGCUUUGUGCUGCCUUCCUGCAACUACAAAACGCUAAGAGGAGGAACCAUUGGGUUGUUGUUUUUAUUUUGGUUAUGUAUUUUGUGGUUUUAUUUUUUGAUUUUAUUCUGUGAACCGCCCUAAGACCUCCGGGUAUAGGGCGGUAUAUAAAUCCAAUAAAUAAUAAGAAUUAAUAAUAAUAUUAACCAGCCAUGAUUUAAGACUGGAAUUAUUUCUUGAGAUCUGUAAACAAUACAAAACAGUUUUAAUUAUGCAAAAGCAACUCCAUGUCUAGGUAGUGUUUUAAUUCAUGACUCUUACACCUGUGUGUAUCAGUGUGUUUCUGCUACUAGAAAUUAGUACUGUAUAUGAAUAGUUGGUAAUUUCUAAGCAACAUAAAACAGCAUUUAAGCCAUUAAGGAAUGGUACAAAGAAUAAUCGUCAGAUAAAGGACUUUCAGGUUAAGGUUCUUUAUUGGAAUUAAAUAAACGAAGGAAGUAAUUAUGGAACAUUUAGUUACACCAUAAUAUUUACUUUGUACUUAAUAGUAAGCAAACAACAUUCCAGGCUGUGAUUUAACCUUUAGUGUAUUUAAUCCAUGCUUAACAUUUUAAUUUGAAAAGACCAUGGCUUUAUUGAAAAAUGGAAAGCCUUUGUGUAUUCUUCUGUAACAUAAGACAAACAACAAAUUAAGUAAUCUGUGGUAUUUUGUCUUGCUGGAAUUACAUCUGCUUUCACACCUUUUUCUCAGUAAUGAAAUGUUAGUGGGGACUUUUCUUUCACAUUUUAAGCUAGCACUCCUCUUCGAUCUCUUGCCAGCUUUUGCCCCCCCCCCCCGCCAGGCUCUAAAUCGGUUUUAAACAAGACAUGAUAGAGAUGUUUGAAAUCCUGCCUUUGUAAAAUUACCACCAUACAUCCCGAAUGGUAACAGAUGUUCCAAGGGUGCUCCCCAAUGUUUUGUCCUUAGGAAAUUUCAAUUAGUUCUAAUACUGGGCAAACUUGCAGCAGAAAAGGUUGAGUGUCUUGUUGUAGUUGUGUGGAGGAUUUUUGUAGUAAGUUUCAGAGGAGGAUUCAGUGACUUGCACUCUAUGAUUUCCUGUGUCCGUUGCAAAUCCAAGAAUAUCAGUACAGUCCUAGCUGGGACUCAGGGCAUGGAACAGCAGAUUCUUCACCACAUUCUCAGCCCUGCUGGUUCCUACAAAAAAGCAGGCAGCUUCACAACCUAUUUUGCUGCACCAAUGCCAGGCUAGCAUAGCUUACAGAUCUAAAUUGGGCUCUCUGCAAUAAAGUGACUAGCUUUAUGUCCUCCAGAGGUUUUGGCAACUACCAUCAUCCCUGACCACUGGUCAUGCUAGCUGAUGAGAGAUGUAGUCCAAAACAUUGAGGUCACCAAGACUUCUCAAGUGAAAAAUAUAGAUGAGAAGUAUAUCUCAAACUAUGUAUAUCUAGCUGUAACCACCUGCAUGAUAGAUUGAAUACCACUCUGCCUUUCCGAGAUGAUUCCAGUUUAUUGUCCCGUCAUCCAUGUACUAAUCAGACUUGCUUAAACUGUAAAGGAAAAAGUCCCCAAGCUACAUGCAACAUCUUAAAAUCAUGUUAACAGCGCCAUCAUUGUUACAUUAGGGUGAGAUUCUUCUCCUGUUGUGUAUAGAGGAAACUAAGCCAAACUAUUCCCGUGCAGCAACUUGUUUUGAAAGGGUAAUUAUUUUGAUGGUUGUAAAUUGGCCUUUCCUUCCUAAACACAUGACUGGCAAUGUCUCUGUUUUUCUAAUGCUGAUGCAAAUGUUUUAUUGUGAAACCACAACUUUACAUUGGACAAAUGUAUAACACUCUGAGAAUAUCCAACCUUCUUUGUUGCUAGCUACUGAAGUAAUUUAACUGUGUAUGUGUGUCUGAGUAAACAGAACCUUAGAAUCUGAGAACAAUAUUUGAAGGCAUUCAAGACAUUGAAGACAUUUGAAGACAGCCUAAUUGUUGUCAGGACCGACACUGAUACACAUACAUAGUGGCAUGGAAGCCCACUUCCUCACACUGCAAUUCCAAAUGAGUGUGUGAAUGAGGCAGCCAUAGGAGCUGAGUGUUCUCCUACCUCUUGGUGUAUGGCUAAGAGGAGGGCAACAAUAAUGUGAAGAAGAUUUCUGGGGGCAUAAGUUUGGAUUGCAGUGAUGGGAAAAUGGCAUAUGAAUAGGACCAGGAGCAUAUGAAUAGGACCAGACUUUUGGGAAGUGGAUACUGGGCCUUUUCACACAUUAUAUUCUUGCAGCAGCAAGUCCUUCCUGGCAGCAAAUAGGAAGGAGUAAAAUGUAGUCUAUAAAAAUAUUGAUUGUUGUUGUUCAUAAAAACUUAGUUAUCCUUACUUAUUCUGACCCUUUCCACUAACAGCACACAGAAGCAUGCUGUAGUGAGCUUCUCAGACUCUUACCUCACCCCACAAAACAACUGGUCACCAAGAGAUGAGAAAAGCGCCUCUUAGUAUUCCUUCCCACCAUCAGCUACAGUCCAGUAUGAAACAGCUAGACAGCCAGAUUCGCAGCUGCUGGAACAUUUUACUUCUUUAGUAUUCUGUCUCUUCCACUUCCCUAUUCUUGGUCUCCUGCUUCUUGCAUUCCAUUGGUCUUCUGUGUUCCUGCUCUUUGCCUUCUACCUUUCCCUUCUGGGCUUCUGUGACAUCACAGCAGUUUGAAUUGGUUUCCCAGAGUUAAGAGCAAAUGAACAAGUAGGAAAAGUUGCCUUGGGAGAUUUCAAAUCUCCUUCUAGAAGUUUUAAAAAGAGAAGUUAGGUAAGAUCUGUCAGGAGUUUGUUGGGUAUCAUAAAUAUUUUGGCAUAAAGCUACAGGUUAUGGCCUCAGAGAUGCUUGGUCAGCAUUAUGAUUCAGUUUUCAGACACCUUAAACAGGAUUUGUAUUAUGAACUCAAGGCCUAUCUGUCAGCUUAUAUCAGCACAUUAUUCAAAUUAAAUUUUAAAGAAGACAGUUUUACUGUGAGCAUGGUACUUAAGUCAUGCAUGUAUGAUGGUAUGUGUCUAUAAACAGACCAAAAUAUAAGGCCUAUGCUGAAAGAGUAGCUGUGUUUUGUUAACACUGUGUUAUUUUUCAGUGUGAGACUCUAUUGGUUUCCAUUAACUUGCCUUCCAAAAUUGAUUUUGCUAGAACAGGAAAAAGAGCCUUAGAAGCUUACAAAAUUAUAUUAUAUCAAACCAGUUUAGCAAGAAUUCCUCAAACAUUAUUCUCAUCUUACUUUCAAAUAUUUGAAAACUUGUUCUUGUAUUUUGAUAUUGUAUGAGGGGAAAAAAGCCUAUGGUUGCAAUCCUAUGCAAGCUCAGGUGUACAUCUCAGCUCAGUUGGAUUUACUCUUAGUUAAUAUGCAUAUGAGUGACCUACUGGUCUGUUAAGUUUAUUGUUAUCAGUACCUAUUUGCCCAUGUUGAAGUUUUCUUGUGGGGUUUUUUUUUAAAAUACAAAGCUGCCUGUAACACUUCAAAGCCAAAGGUGACAGUAUUGAACUUUUAGCUGAACAGCAUAAUGUGCUAGUCAGAGUGGUGCUAAGAUGGCUGUUUAGUAUGCUUUCUUUGGCAUAAAAAUCAAAGGCAACAUUUGCCUCUUUCUUUUUAAUUAAGUAUCUUUAGGUUAAUAAGUGUCAAGUGUUUUGCCAUUGGGGAUCUCAAAGGACUGGAUCCACUUUCCUAAACAGACUGCCUGACUGCUCAGUUCCACUUCUUGUUUUGUUCUUUGUUUUGGUUUUGUUCUGGGUUGUUGUUUUUUAAAUUAAGUGUCAUGCUCAGUUGUGCAAGUUGGAGAACACAGAAACCAGCAUUGGUUGCAAAGGGGAUUGCCUUAGGCUUAAGUGGUUUUUCCCACGCCUUAUUCUUAGAUUCCCAAAUAACUUGGUAUCCAGACUUUGAAUAAGAACCCCAACAUUUGAUCCUUGUGCUCAGAUUUAGACAGUAAUCCUAUGUAUGCUUACUUGGGAGGAGGUUCCAUUGAACACAUAUGAACUUGCUUCCUAAUAAGCAUAUGUAGGGUUGGACUUCGUAAGGCUUUGUGGUAUAUAAGAUUACAUGCACCUGUGGUUCCGUAGUCAGCCUUCAUCACAGGUUCACAUAAAAGUAGCCUUUAAGCACAACGACUUUGAAGGAACCCAUAUGGGACACAUACUCGUCCAGCAAUUGUGCUGGGGCUAAUCCUCUUUGAGUGAGAACAACCUGUGCAAAACAUAUUGUGUGAAUGGUUUGACCGAAGGAACUGCUUGUACCUCACAGUCUAUAAAGCUGCUAUUGCUGGGGUCACAUAAAGCCUUAUUUUAAAAGGAUUAGACAAUUCCAUAGAGGACAGAUUUAUCAGUGGUUGUUAGCUAUGAUUACAUGAACUAUAAUUUGGAGGGAAAGGGUUGUUGGCUUUUUGCCCUGAUUGUGGGCAUCUCAAGACUCUGGCUGCUUUUGGAAACAGGAUAGGACAGGGAUGGGGGAGACGGGAUCUCUUUUCGCCCAAGAACCACAUUCCCUUCUGGGCAACUUUCCAGGGGCCACAUGCCAGUGGUGGGCAGGGCAACAAAUGUACAUUUUACCUCUGUGCAGUAAGCUAGUUUCUACAUAUACCCACACACCCGUUUCUGUCUUCCAUCCAGGCAAGCAAGAGACGUUAUCAGAGUUCAGGUAUACAUUCCAGCCAGGCAAAAACACUCAAGGAAGAUGUGAAAUAGAGCUAUUGGAUGACAUGGCCUGGGAAGUGUGGGAGGUGGCCUUGGGAGAGUUCUGAGGAUCAGAUAGAGAAACCUGGAGGACUGCAUUUGAUUCCCAGGCCAGAAGAUACCUCAGCUUUGCUGUAGGAUUAUCCAUCAUGGUGCACUUCAUAUGCUGCUGGACUCUGGCUUCCAUCAGCCCUAACCCUUAGCCAUGCUUGCUUAUUCUGAUGGGAUUUGUAGUCCAUUGGUGCCAUCUGAAGGGUACCAUGCUACCUGUAGCCCACCCUUACCUGACCUGAUGCCCUCCAGGUGUUUUGUGCUGCAAAUCUCAUCAGCACAGCCCACUGUUGGGAAUGGCAGGACUUGUAGUCCAAAACAUUUGGAGGGGGUACCAGGUUAAUCUUAAAGCUCCCAUAGAUCCUUGUUGUGAUUCAGCAAGGCUAUCAUAAGCUCCUGUUU